GCCAAAUUAGAAUCCUGGCUGUAAACACGGAUGAGUUGACGUUCUGCGGAAGCGUAGUGCGUUCGGAAGCAGGGUUUUAUUGUUAGUUGUUACCCUGUAACGCUAGUUAUCUGGCGAAUAAAUAAAUAAGCUAGUGCAUCACAGGGGCAGCAGUCCAAUUAAAGUUGUUCUAUGGCGAUGUCGACCGAAUUGGACAAAGCGAUGAAAGAUUACGAGGUGGCGUGUGCAGAACUGAAGGAGGAGUUAUCGGGGCUUUCUGACCGGCUGGGCACGUUGUCCCAGUAUCAGAGAAGCCUACUGACCACUAACACGCUACUGAUGUCCUGGAUGCAGAAUGCAGAAAAGCUGUGGAAGCACCGGAGAGAGACGCGCCCGGUCUCAGACUCCUGACGGAAAGACGCAACCGGCGGAGGGGAGUGGCGACGGCACCGUCUGUGUUCUGCGCGCUCCGUGAGGCCAGCAGCCCAUCUGCGUGGAGUAUCAGAUGCCCUGUCACAGACCGCUGGCCAACACCACGCACAGAUCUGGUCUCCCCUGGGGGUUUGUGCCAGAAGCUCAUUACUCAGAUUAAAGAGAAUGUAGAAGACCA